rnacentral:lncRNA from 1 species
CUCAACUUGGACAGCUGCCAGCAACCAUUGUGGACCGACCGAUGGUGGUGUGGCCCAACCAGAGGAGGUCGGUGGCUGCGCGAUGCGUUGUUGGGACGACGCAUAAGAAUUAAACUGAACGAAUUUUAGAUAUUGAAUUGAACCGAAAGAAUAAACUGGACAUCACCCGUACAUUAGCUUUUAUUUGACAACACAUAAACAUAAGAUGUACUAUGUUUGGGAAAGGAGGCGGUGCCGCGGGGAUGCAACGACAGCUUUUCCUGAUGUACUAUGCUUUCUAUUUCAAUGCUCACACUAGCCAGGCGAGUAGAAGUUGUCCCAUGUUUUGUUAUGCAAGGGGGAAACACAUAAUCUUUUUAUAGCUUACUUUCUUUGAGAGGAAGUGGAAGAAGGAUUAACUAAUACUUGUUCUUGGCAGAGUAAAUAUAUUUGAACCUAGAUGAUCUAACUGGUUGAACUGAGGCAGUCAAACUGAUUAGCACAUCUAGGUAUAAUGAGACGAGUUAACUAGUUGAACUGAGACAGAUUAGCACCACUAAUACAAUAUUAUACUAUAAAAAUGACUCUGAUUCCAGUAGCUCAACAAGCAUCAAAUUCUUCCUCAAACUUCCAGUCCUGGAACCAUAAUCAGUCAAUGUUCUAACAAACAAUUAACAUGCACAGUAGGAAUGAUGUAUCUCUUUAAUGAGUGAAUUGCCUCGAACAAACACUAACUUUGAUUUGGAGACUACAUUAACGUACGGGCAAAACCGUUGUUUUUCUCUCUAGCCAAUGGAACUGUCAUCAUAAUUAUAGAAGAACUGAUGCAAUACGUACAUAUGGAAGGUUUUUACCUUUUCAGCCAGCAUUUUCAUUGAACAGAUGUUGUGCACUCAAGAAUCAGAGUGAAAUGAGGCUAGGCCGAGAGCAUCUGAGAGAGGGAUAGAAGAAACAACCACAAGCACAUGGGAUAGCUAGGCAUAUGAACAUGCUUGAACAGGAGGAAAUUACACAUAAUUUAGUUGCAUAAACAAUAAGUGCUGAUCUAGGCAUAUAAUAACGAGAGCCUAUACAUGCUGUAUCUACAAGAGCUUGUACAUGAUAUAGCUGCAAGAGGACUAACUAGAGCAAGAUUUUUCUCUUCUCACAAUGAUUUUUUUCUGUAUAUAGCAGGACUAGCAAGGGUCUCAGGAAUCAACUACAUUUUUCAAUCAACUCGAUAUUCAUCAGUACUAGUAUAACUGGACAAUAAGCUUAGAAUUUUAGGCGUGGACGCACUAAACUUACAAAAUUUUACUUUUAAACCUUUUUUAGGUAAUAUAUCUAACCUUACAGGAUUUUAAAACAUGAACUGACCAUAUUAAGGACUACAAGGGGAACGGCAAAAGUCUCAUCCAGCUCCAACAAUUUUCUGUAGCAUGACACGUGCUAUACAUGUUUAGUUAAACGGAGUUGCCAGCUUCCUCCUUUUAGGUACUACUAGCUCCCAGCAAAAUUCAAAAAACGAAAGGCGGAUAGGUCUAGCUAAUCUAUUAUGAAGCUCACCUUCACAUGUGAGAGAGGGAUGGAAACGAAUCAGCAGCAGCAGUGAAGAUACUGUUGCUCCUUCCUCAUCCAUACCCUGCUCCUGCUAAUGCUGACCCUUCUCACGUAGUCGCGUUGCUUGGCCUGUACGUCACGACAAGAGAGCGCCGACGGCGGGUGGCACCUUUUUGCCUGUACUUCAUAGACCAUGGUAGCCAUCUUAAAGUACUCUAUCUACUUCAUAACCCAUGACGAGUAUCUGCUUUUUUUUCCUGAACUUUUCUGAACUAACAGCACACAACACAACACUCUGUCAGUAUAUCCCAGUCUCCUUGUCUAAGGUCAGUUUGAAACAUAGUUCCUGAACUUACUAAUUAGUAUAACAUGUUCUGACACCGACGCACAAUGUGUACGGAGUAGCUCUAUUAUUUUUCGUGUGAAUGUUUAAGAGGAAAAUGAACCUUGCAUCGUAGAAGAGAAGUCUAUGGGCGCGGGGCAACGACGGUGUACGUUCCCCUCGAAUGGAGAAACAGUAGGGCAUGAGAAGAAAGAAGUAGCAGCAACACCUCAAGAUCCUUGUCAUGUCCCUAGUCUUGCUAUGCACUUGGACUAGUUGGUUGUUGCAUCAUGUUUAAAUUUGUCUUAAACUUGAAAUGGGGAUUGUCCAAACCCUAGCAUUAAAGGAAUUCACUAGGCUCACCUAAAAUAUUUUCAGUAAGUCCAAAUGGCUUUCAAAAAUGUUCAUCAUUUCUGGUUAAUUCUAGAAACCAUAACCAGUGGUGUUGCACAUUUUUCCAUGACAUAUUUGGUCACUGAAUUAAAUCAUACAGUAUUUGCAAUUGGGCAUUUAAAUGAUAUAUAUAUUAUUUUAAGUGCUCAAUUAAUUCUGAACUUAAGUGUGGGAUGUUUGGAAUAAACCCAACAGAGCCCACAAUUAUUUGAAGGAUUUUUGGAAACGUUUUAGUAUUUUUAAUAAAGCCCAAUAGUUGCAGAAGAAAUAGAAAACAGUAAUAAAAGGGAGAGAGAGAGAGAGAGACUUACCUGGCCUCACUGUGCAGGCCACCUGGUCGGCCCAGCUGGCAGCCCACCUGCUGGCCCAGCCCAGAAGCCCUCCCGCCUGUCGUCUUCCUCCUGCUAGGAGGAUAGACAGGUGCGUGGCAAGAGCGCCGACGAUGCCUUGCCACCUCCUGCUUCAGCCGCGCAGCCUCGACCCCCUGGACACCACUCUCCCCUCCUCUGCCCUUUCCCUCGUCCUCUCCCGCUACGACCGACGCGCCCGUAAGCCUCCGCCGCCGUAGUCGACGCCACCGCCUCUCCCUCGCCUCCUGGAGCUGCCCACGAGCUCCGGCCAGUACCUCUCUUCCUCCUCACCGAGCCGCCCAACGCCGGACGCCCCGCAUCACCCUCUGCCCCGCCAUCUUUGCCGCCUCUGCCCCGAGAUCGCCGGCGGCCGCACGACCUCCCCAGCCCCUCCCCGAGAUCUCCGUUCGCUUCCCUGCACUCGCAGUGAGCCACUGACCCUUCUCCCCCUCUCCGCUCUCGCUCUAGUGCACCGUACGCGCCGCCUCGAGCUCGUCUGCACGCAUCGCCGCCUGUGCUCGCCGCCGACGUGUCUCCGGCCAUCUAAUGGUCCGGCCGUCGUGCCCAUUGCACUCCCUGCAUCGCAUAGGAGCCGUAGGUGCUAGCGCCGCCCCGUCUAGGCCACUUUAGCAAUGAGCCCGAGCUCGACCGAGCUUCGGCCGCCGCAGAGCUCGUCGCCGGCGCCACUCCGGCCACUCCCCGGCCACCCACCACAAUGGUUGGAUGCGGACGAGCGUCCGCAUCCUGUAGAUGUGCUUCGCGCGCCAAACGGCGCCCUGUAGGCGAAUCCCGCAGCGCACCGCCGCGUCUGGACUCGCCGGCGGCUAAACGCCGGCGACCGUUGACCCGUUGACCGGCGUGGGUUGAGCCCACUGCCCGGUUUGACUCCCCCCCUCUCUCUCACUGACUUAAGGGCCCCGCUCGGCUAAUUAAUCUAGUUUAGGUUUAAAACUUAAUUAGUUUAACCUAGAUUAGUGCUAAUCAAACUAGGUUAGUUUAGUUAGCCACUAACACACGGGACCCACUGGUUAGUUUGACCCGGGCUGCCCCGUUGACUCGCUUACCUCAUGCUGACGUCAGGCUAAACGUAGUAAUCCCUUUUCUGGAAUUAGUUUAAUUCUAUUUAUUCAGAAAAUCCAGAAAAGGCUUAAACUUCUAAAAAUCAUAGAAAAUCAACCGUAACUCAGAAUGAAAUAAGUUAUAUAUGAAAAAUGAUCAGAAAAAUCCAAUCUAUCCAUCUGUACCAUUAUCAUGCAUGUUAUAACAACUGAUAGCUGCUGUUUAGCACAAAUCAUAUAAUGGCAUUUAAACCUUCACAUAUGGAGUUUAGAUUUGAAUCUUGGAUUCAAACCAACUCCAUUUAACUUGCUGCUAGUUGCAUUAGCUCAAACCACAGCAUAUUGAUAUGUCAUGAUCAUGCAUCAUAUUGUGCAUUGCAUUGAUUGUGUUUCCUUCUGUGAUGCCAGUAUUUGUCCCCUCUCGAUAGACAUGAUACCGACAAUGAGAUCGAUGACACCGAUGAAGAGCUAUACUAUCUUCAGAAGUGCCAGGCAAGCAAAACCCCCUUGUUCAUUCCGAUACAAUACUACUCUCUCGCUCCUGCUCUCUUUUACUGCAUUAGGACAACAACGAUUCAUCUGUUACUUGUUGCGGUAGCUGAACCCCUUUAUCCUCUGCAUGACCUGUCAUUGCCACAGUAAAUAGAUGAAACCCACUAGCAUGAGUAGGAGUUGUUUGAGCCCUGAUGUGUCUACUCAUUCAUGUUUGUUUAUCAUGCCUGCUACUGCUUAGAGUUGAGUCAGGUCUGAUUCAUCGGGGAUGAAUCAGAGGUGUGUGAACAUGUCCUACUGUGUGUGAGCUAAGUGUGUGAACACGAUUUGGUAAAGGUCGCGGUGAGAGGCCAUGUAGGAGUACAUGGUGGGUUGUCUCAUUGAAGCCGUCCUCAGGAACUGAGUUAUGUUUUUGUGUUCCAUGAACAGUUACUACCACACAUUGGGUUCCGGUAACUCGGCCCCUCUCGGCUUAUUAAUCAACUUGAUCUCUGUCCAGGAGUUGCAACUAGUUUCUGGUGUUUGUAGGUAGUGCUAUUAGUCUACCAAGUGGCACCCGGUAUAGGUGGGCUUGGGACAAACUAGGCACAGUGGCACGGUGUACCAAGUGGCACCCGGAUGGUGGGCUUGGGAACCCUGCUCACAUCAUUUGGGAUCGUGAGCAACACCCCGGCCGGAUCUCCUUUUAUAUGGAACCCGAAUAGGCGAUAAACCUGGACGAGAGACUUGUGUGGUUAGUCAGGUCGUGGCCGACACCCUCGCUGGGCUUCCGCUUGAAGGUUGCCGAGUACAUGUCGUGUAAACGGCGGUAAGUGGUGAGAGUAUGUGUGAAGAAGUACUCCUCUGCAGGGUUAAUAUGAUCUAUUCGAAUAGCCGUGUCCGCGGUAAAGGACUUCUGGAUUGCCUGUAUAGUUUAUAGACAAGUGAAAAUGGAUACUCUAAAAUACCCAAGAUAAGCGUGAGUGCUAUGGAUGGCGUUCUCGUAGGGAGACGGGAGCGGAUCCAUAGUGGUGUAUUGAUAUGGUGAAUAUGUGGACUCCUGUGCGCCACCUCAAAAGAGAUAAUUGCAGUCGUAGUCCAGGAUAGCCACCGAGUCAAAGCUGGCUUGCUGCAGCUAAACCCCACCCCACCCCUUUGUUGAUAAUGAUGCCUAUGUAGUUAGUUCUGAUGUAAGUCUUGCUGGGUACAUUUGUACUCACGUUGCUUAAUUUAUGUUUUUGCAGAGAGACUUCAGUCUCAUUAGUAGUUCCGUGUGGACUUCGACGUUUAGCUUGUUACCUCAGCUACGAUCUUGUGCCCUCGGCAGGAUCUGGUAGAUAGUCAGGCUUCUCAGCCUUUUUUCAUUUCUAGAUGUAUGUACUCAGACAUGUUAAGCUUCCGCAUGUGCUUUGACUUGUAUGCUCUGAAUGUUGGGUCAUGAGGCUCAUGUUUGUAUUAUCUCGCUCCUCAGAGCCUAUUGAAUAAUACUUUGAGUUGUAGAGUUAUGUUGUGAUGCCAUUUUGUAUUUGCACAUAUCGAGCAUAUUGUGUGUAUGUUAUUGAAAUGCUUGGUAUGUGUGGAAUCUGACUAUCUAGUUGUUUAUCCUUGGUAGCCUCUCUUACCGGGAAAUGUCUCCUAGUGCUUCCACUCAGCCCUGGUAGCUUGCUACUGCUCCGGAACAUUUAGGCUAGCCGGCAUGUGUCCUUCUUCGUUCAUGUGUCUGUCCCUUCGGGGAAAUGUCACGCGGUGUCUAUCGGAGUCUUGCUAGCCCAGAUGCUACAGCCCGGAUUCACUCGCUGAUGAAUGACACGUUCGUUGCUGGGUCAUGUAUGCUUAUCCCUGUAAGUUAGUGCCACUUUGGAUUCACGACUAGCCAUGUCAGCCCGGGUUCUUGGUCAUAUGGAUGCUAGCGGCACUAUCAUAUACGUGAGCCAAAAGGCGCAAAUAGUCCCGGGCCAGGUAAGGUGGCACCCGUGGGAAUACCGUGCGUGAGGCCGCAAAGUGAUAUGAUGUGUUACAUGCUAGAUCGAUGUGACUUAGGAUCGGGGUCCUGACAGCUUUGGUAUCAGAGCUUGACUGCCUGUAGGAUUACCAAGCCAAACUGGUCGAAGUUGAGUCUAGAAAUGCUUUAGUUAUAUGUAGGGGAAUUGAUUGUGGGAUGGAACAUAAGGCUCUUUUUACUCCUUUGCCUUAUGCACUUCUGAUCUGAGUCAACCUCUUCUCUUCUACGGGGAUUAAGAAUUAGGCUUUCUCUUCUCUCUAUCAGGAUCACGUGUUACUAAUCUGUAGACCUAUUGGAUUGAUGGUUCUAAGCCUCAGUUCAGUUCCUACUAUCUCUGUGUAUUCAUUGUUGAUCUCAGAACCUUGAUAUUAUGAUGAUUGAGUGGUUAUGCCACCAUUUUUGUAGCAUGUCCCAAAUCUUUUUGAGCAUUUACAGACGUUAUGCUGUCCGAGUCAUCCCAGGUUUCUAAAUCAUCUGAUGCAAUUGCAAAAUCCUUUCCCUCUGUUUUCGAUGACCUUUCUGGCCAGGUUAACCACACUAAACGGUGAGUGGAGGUACUCUAUUGCCUCGACGUAUAUGUUGGAGCUAUUAUUAUGACCCUAGAUGUUUAGAGUAUCACCUAGUAAUCUACCCAUGUUUUGUGUUCCAGUGUGAUGAUCCUGGCCAUCAUUCUCGAAAGCAUCCCAUGAUGCCAUUUAGUUGGUAGUUUUUCUAUUCCUAGGCUUCUGACCCGAGAUUCACUCUACCUACAUCAUGUUGUUAUUGUUUGCUAGUUCCUUUAGGAAAUUAGUAACCUUUGCAAUAGUCCUCGAAGUUCGUGGUAUUUCCUUCUUCCAAACUAGCGAGGUGACCCGCGCAUUUGCGCGGCUAGAUUUUUUCAUGUUGUUUAAUUAUAGCCAUACGAUAGUUGCUAUAUUACAUUUAACCAUGUGAUUUAUUCUCAAUCUGGUUCACUGACCUUGAGAAUUUAGACACCAAAGCAACACAUCAUGAGGAUUCUAUAUCCUUUAGAGAAAUUUCAAAUGAGAACCGAUUGAGAUAUUGAUGGCUCAUAGAAAUAAUUUCCUUUUUUCAUCGCUGUAUCUUAUCAUCAGUGGUAUUGCAAUUAGGUUCCAUUACUGAAAUGACAUGCAUUGACAUGUACUGACACAAGCAGUCUUGCUCUAAUUAGUUAUGUAUUCAUAUUCACCAAAAAUUGCUAGAACAAUAUGUGUUUUCCAUCUCUUGUAUAUAUAUGUAUACCUUGCCUUUAUCAAAUCGUGCAUGUAGUAUAUGCAACAUGACUUACCUUUCUUUCAUCGUGCUAGUGAUUGUUGCUCCAAAUUGUGUUAUUUCCCGCAGCUGAAAAGACUUACUACAUACUGGUGCACUUUCCUCAUUUCUGUUUGUCAAUCCCACACGAUCUGUCAAUUCUUCUUAUGUGAUGUCAUCUACAUGACUUUUUACUCGAACAUGCACAUGGCAGUUUUGUCAAAUCGUGUCUAUAUUCUUACCGAAUUGUAUUUUUUAGCAUAAUUCAUUGCAUACUUGAGUUGCCAUUGUUGCUAAUACUUACUCUCACAAUCACUUUAAUCAUAGUUGAUGUUUUACACCAUGGUCAAGUUUCUUUGCCCAUUUCACUUCCCUAUAUAGGGCAAUAUAAUCAUGAGAGGAAAUAGUAGGCCUAGCUCUGUAACAGGGGUGGAUAUGCAAUCUCAUCAGUUAACAAACAAUGCAAUGUAGUUUACGUACCAUCGGGGUAGCAUGAUUAAAAUAACUUAUUGUGCCGUUUUUGCUUAACAAACAUAAGGUACAUGUUUUCUAAUUAUAUCUUUAGUUUAGUCGUGAAUGUUUAUUUCAUUGAUCGUUAAGAGAAUGAUAAUCACAUGAAGACUGAAUUUGGCUGGUUAACGUCCUAUAUUUCGUAAAAGAUGAAGUAUACUCCACAAGAAUUUUUAGCCCCAGCAAAAAUUUUAUUUCCAUCAGACAAUACAUCACCUGGAGAUAUUAGGAGAGAUUGCCGAUUCUAUUGCCGGGUGUGAGGCAUGCCUUAUGCUUCCACUUCAUCGAUCAUUACUUUCCGCAACUAUGGGCUUCACAUGAACACAAUUGAGACACAAUCUGCUAUACUCUGUCGAACUCAUGUUAUUUUUUUUCUCAGUAUAUUGUCAAACCUGUGUACAUUGACACAUCUAGAUAAGCCAUGCACGUUGACACGUAAUUUUAUUUUGUUUUAAUUUUUGGUUUAAGCUCAUAUUCAUAAAUCUUUCAUAUAAAGUUUAUUAUAUAAAUAAGUAGGUUUAAAUCAUACAUUUAGUCACUAUCCAAACAAUAAAAAAAUGAUUUUUAGUAUCUCAACCUGGUGCCAAAAAUUCAUGGCCAGCUAUAACAUGGCUAAGCACUCACGUAUGAAACAAAUUUGUUUAAUCUAAUGACGGCGGACAUCAUUGCAUGCAACCGCCGGUCUACUACUCCUGCAUGCAAUCAUACUGUGCUCUUUUUUAAAUGAACACUGCACCGUUUUAGAAUCAGACUCCACCGCUCCUAUUUUUCAGCUCGACACUACGGCCUUUUACUAUCGGAUUGCACCAUGUUUAGCAAUUCAUCACGACUUUUGGUACAUGAAUUUGGCUCGACGUGGGCACGUGUCAGCUGGAAAAAUUGUACAUGUCAACGUUCCACAUUGACGUUUCCAUUUUGUUCUUGUUUGAGUUGUGGAAAAGAAAUGCAUAUUCUUUUUUCUGGAUCAUGCAAGAUUUUUCUCUGCAACAGUAUUUUAACCAAUAAAGAUAGUUUUAAUACAUGUCAAUGUAUUCGAUUUGAAAAGAAAUCUGAUAUAGCAGUGCAUCCAACAUGGAUACUUUCCAAAUUUAUCUCAGCAGUAAUUGUUUUUUUUAAAUGCUUGUAGCAGUAGGCAGCACGUUCUUUUCUCCCUUCUUUUCUUUCCUAUAAGGGGCAUGCAACGCUUCCACGUCGUAUAUGUGCUGGACUCUGUUUUUUUUAGGAAAUAUGUGCUGGACCCUAAGGCAUAUGUGUCUGUCCGACAACCUUUUCUAGAAAAAUUUAGUUGUAGUUUGGCAGCACUUUUCUCUCUCUCUCCCUCUCUUCUUUUCUUUCCAAUUAGAACAUGCGACGCUUGCACCCCAUACAUGUGCUGGACUCUAAAACGUACAUACAUGUGUCUCCUGGAACGUUUUGUUCAAAAACAUACUUGUACUUUUUUUCUCUUAUUUUCCUACUUCUUAUUCAUGCACCUUGUACGUGUCAGUUCAAUAUAUAUAACUUUUAGGUGUAACGUACUAUCUUUCAAUCUCAGCCAUAAAUAUUAUUAAUCAACGAUGUAUAUUAUUUUAGCAUAUGUGGAAGAACGUGGUGUCCUAUUUGUCUUCUGUAUUAUGUACAUAAUAGAUACUAUGAACCACUUUAUGGCAGAAGUUUGUUGGAUCAAAAGAUCACAACAGGAGUGCCCUCGAUGAGUUCUCCAUUCUAUAUUGCGACUCUGCCAGUUCUACUUUUCUGCAUGGGUUAUCCGGAAGAAACUUGUUGAACUUGUUUCAACAUACUAACCUAUGCAUCCACUAAUUAUAAAACGGUAUGUUCCUUUGAGUUGUUCCGCUUUAGUUGUCUUCCGACCCUCGUCUACCAAUUGAUAGUCAAAAGUAUGCGUGCAAUCGUUCAUCGAUGCCUAUUAUUCUUGUGUUCCAUCAAGCCAUUCUAUCCCAGAAUGACUAGGAGAAAUGAACUCCAGUACCUCAUCCAUAUCUAGGAUUGGGUCAAAGUAGUCAUACUCCGCAGAUCAAAAUACUAAUCCAGUUUUUGUUCUAUUCUACCCUGAAGUAUUACCCUCUUUAUGUCAAGAAAGUCAUAGGAAUUACACAUCAUCUUAUGAAUUCUUGAUGCAGCGAUACUUCUCGCCAUCAUUAUUCAUUCCUCGGUCCCCGUGUUGUUGAACCGGAAUGCCGACAUGUGAAUCGUGAUGUGUGAAAUCAAUACUGCUAGCAACCCCGUUGCUUGGUAGUUAAAGGACAAUAAUUUCAUUCUUAGCGUAUUCGUUCUUGAAUCAUCAUUCUAAGAUAGAUCGUGCUACCUAGUCCUUAUUUUCGGUGCACCUUUCGAUCAAUGAGUUGGGGUUAUGCCAAUACCUUGCUUAUUUGAUCAUCUCAUCUUGCCCUGAAAAGCAAGAUGGUUCUCGAGCUUAAUAGCAUAUCGGUGGUUUGUGAUUUUUCGAUUAUCUUCUCGGAAGUAUCACCAGGUUGUCACCUGACUGCUAUGUUGAGCUCGUGACCAAGUUGGUUUUCGAAACCACCCUUUCUCCAAGAAUCCGUGUUGGAUACCCCUGAGCUAGUUAGUUAAGCUAAACGACAACUUGGAGAGUUGGAAGAUAAAAGCUUACCUAACUUUGUUCGUUUCAAAGGGAUAUCCUGGUGUUGGUAUGUUUUGAAGAAAGAUGAUAUCUUCAUUGGUUGAUCCUCAUGGUCAAUUGCUGGAUCUAUUAUCUUAUCCAAUCUUUGAUUUGAGUAUGGGAUAUCAUCAAAUCAAAUCAGAACCAACGAUAUUCGUAAUGUUGUCUUACUCGUGGUUUUUCCUCGAGCAUACACCAUUAUAUUCUUUGGUCUGACCCUAUCACCGUGUUCACUUAACUAUGGAAUUCCUUUUAUAUGGAAACCUGGAUGAAUUGUUGUUGAGCCCAUUGACAACAUCCUUAUCUCCUCCAUGAUUUUGUUGAACAUUAAGCUAGUGUUGGAAACUUGUGUAAGCAUUUUCUUCCUGCCCCGUUCAUGAAGUAUAUGUUUGGAUGAAAGAAGUGACUUCCUUUGAUUCACGUGCAUUUGAUGUAAGUUGCCGCCGUGAAUUCGAGAAAGUUAGUUUUGCUUCCUCCGGAAUCAUCCCAAGUCAGUCAUGCACGUGCGAAGAAUUCUGUGGUCUGUUAGACUGAUCAUCUUCAUUCCAUAUGUAUAUCCUAGCACACCAAGCCACUGAUUGAGUUGUUCAAAGUUAAAGGAGUCUGUCCAAGGUGAACUCUUUGGACUUCCACGCGUGGAGACUUCGAUGUCAUUAAUGAUGGUUCCCCACCUGAACUCGGUAGUGUUUUAUUGUAAGACUACCAUGUGAUAAUGUUUUGUCUGGGACAACGUGUUCACAUGUGUGUAGCAGAACCAGCUCAUGUUUUGGAGCUUGCUAUCGUAGUUCAUUUCCCGAGAAUCUCGCAACGUCAUCUCAUCGAUUUGUGUUGCGAACUUUCUUUUUCUUUCUAGACUCGAUGAGUCUGCAAUAUCUUAACACCAGCCAGAUCUCAAUCUCAGGCAGAUAUGAUGGUUGGAACAUUUCCCAAGAACUAUAAUAUUGGUCCCUCGAUAACCGGUAAAGUGGAUGUCGUCGCCAACACACCCAGCUGGAAGACCUAUUAUUGUAGUAUCUUGUUUGAGGAAGUUGGCCACCUCCCCAUAAGGAUUUCAUAGGAUCUACUCCCUAGUUGUUCCUUAUGGAUUUUUGUGUUCCCGAAGUUCGACCUUUUACUUGAUGUUCUAGAUAUCAAACCGUCUUUAUGAAUGGGUUACGCUAGCACAUCAAGGAGAACAUUAGAAGCGGAGUGCUAAAUGUCUCUCGGUCGAUCAUCCAGAUUUUGUUUCCUUGGCCUCGCUAAGGUGAAAUCUAAGAAGGUUAUCAUUCUUUGCAUCUGCAUUGUCCAUCGCUGUUCAUCAUGGUAGUAUGUUGUGUUGCUAGGAUCCUUGACACGGAUAUUGGUAAAACCUUGAUGAAUAUGGAAGUGCUCAAGUUCUUGAGACCACGGACAAGCGCUAGGUGUUAUCAUCGGCUCUAACUGGGAUUGCUCUCAGUUUCCUCGGUUAUGCUAUAAGUUUUGAAACAGUGGACUCACUCUCUACUGUUGAGCUUCUCCCCAGUUAGUAAAAUCAUUCCUUGUGUUGUUUUCAACAAGGUAAUCCACAUCAUCCAUUCUAGUCUGAGUAUGUCAUUCUACCGAACUCCUUAAAAUGAUCGAUUGUGAUUUGCCUUAAGCUGGUAUAAAGAGCUCUAAUGAUCUCUGAAUCAAAGGUAAUUCUUUUUGCCAUCUAAGGGGAUAUAUCUACGAGUCACCAUCCCUAAGGUGUCUCGUUGUGGUAUCAUGACAACUCAACUCCUCGCUACGUUGGCAACCAAUUACCACCUUAAGUAAGGAAUUGUUGUCUACCUAGUGAACCUUCGACAUCUGUUCCACUCCAUCCCUUUGGAUGAAUGCUUCGUAUCUCAGCUCGAGAGAUGUUCUUGUCUCUCACUCCAUGAGUUGAUCUUGAGUGCUCGAUCUUCGAGGAGAUCAAUUCAUAUAGAGUUUCCCUCUAUCGUCACCAUGUUGGAUGAAGAUCUUGAAAGCAAAGACGUUAAGAUCAAUAUGAAGCAAUGAAUCGACAUCUUUGAGAAGGACAGUUGGAUCGUGAAGAUCGUGUCAGCUUUGUGUUCCCUAUGUCUUCUUACCUCACGUCCUGAAUCUCGGGACGAGAUUCUUGUUUAGUGGGGGUGAGUUGUCACGUCCCUAGCCUUGCUAUGCACUUGGACUAGUUGGUUCUUGCAUCAUGUUUAAAUUUCUCUUAAACUUGAAAUGGGGAUUGUCCAAACCCUAGCAUUAAAGGAAUUCACUAGGUUCACCUAAAAUAUUUUCAGUAAGUCCAAAUGGCUUUCAAAAAUGUUCAUCAUUUCUGGUUAAUUCUAGAAACCAUAACCAGUGAUGUUGCACAUUUUUCCAUGACAUAUUUGGUCACUGAGUUAAAUCAUACAGUAUUUCCAAUUGGGCAUUUAAAUGAUAUAUAUAUAUUAUUUUAAGUGCUCAAUUUAUUCUGAACUUAAGUGUGGGAUGUUUGGAAUAAACCCAACAGAGCCCACAAUUAUUUGAAGGAUUUUUGGAAACAUUUUAGUAUUUUUAAUAAAGCCCAGCAGUUGCAGAAGAAAUAGAAAACAGUAAUAAAAGGGAGAGAGAGAGAGACUUACCUGGCCUCACUGUGCAGGCCACCUGGCCGGCCCAGCUGGCAGCCCACCUGCUGGCCCAGCCCAGUAGCCCUCCCCCUGUCGUCUUCCUCCUGCCAGAAGGACAGACGACAGGUGCGUGGCAAGAGCGCCGACGACGCCUUGUCACCUCCCCUGCUUCAGCCGCGCAUCCUCGACCCCCUGGACACCACUCUCCCCUCCUCUGCCAUUUCCCUCGUCCUCUCCCGCUAGGAUCGACGCGCCUGUAAGCCGCCGCUGCCGUAGUCAACGCCACCACCUCUCCCUCGCCCCCUGGAGCUUCCCACGAGCUCCGGCCAGUCCCUCUCUUCCUCCUCACCGAGCCGCCCGACGCCGGACGCCCUGCAUCACCCUCUGCCCCGCCAUCUUCGCCGCCUCUGCUCCGAGAUCACCGGCGGCCGCACGACCUCCCCAGCCCCUCCCCAAGCUCGCCGUUCGCUCCCCUGCACUCGCAGUGAGCCACUGACCCUUCUCCCCCUCUCCGCUCUCGCUCUAGUGCACCGUACGCGCCGCCUCGAACUCGUCCGCAUGCAUCGCCGCCUGUGCUCGCCGCCGGCGUGUCUCCGGCCAUCUAAUGGUCCGGCCGUCAUGCCCAUUGCACUCCUCGCAUCGCGUAGGAGCCGUAGGUGCUAGCGCCGCCCCGUCUAGGCCACUGCAGCAACGAGCCCGAGCUCGACCGAGCUUCGGCCGCCGCCGAGAUCGUCGGCGGCGCCACUACGGCCACUCCGCGGUCGCGCCACCACCACGGUUGGAUGCGGACAAGCGUCCGCAUCCCGUAGCUGUGCUUCGCGCGCCAAACGGCGCCCUGUAGGCGAAUCCCGCAGCGCACCGCCGCGUCUGGACUCGCCGGCGGCUAAACGCCGGCGACCGUUAACCCGUUGACCAGCGUGGGUUGACCCCACUGCCCGGUUUGACUUCCCCCCUCUCUCUCACUGACUUAAGGGCCCCGCUCGGCUAAUUAAUCUAGUUUAGGUUUAAAACUUAAUUAGUUUAACCUAGAUUAGUGCUAGUCAAACUAGGUUAGUUUAGUUAGCCACUGACACACGGGACCCACUGUCAGUUUGACCCAGGCUGCCCCGUUGACUCGCUUACCUCAUGCUGACGUCAGGCUGACGCAGUAUUCCCUUUUCUGGAAUUAGUUUAAUUCUAUUUAUUCAGAAAAUCCAGAAAAAGGCUUAAACUUCUAAAAAUCAUAGAAAAUCAACCGUAACUCAGAAUGAAAUAAGUGAUAUAUGAAAAAUGAUCAGAAAAAUCCAAUCUAUCCAUAUGUACCAUUUUCAUGCAUGUUAGAACCACUUAUAGCUUCUGUUUAGCACAAAUCAUAUAAUGGCAUUUAAACCUUCACAUAUGGAGUUUAGAUUCGAAUCUUGGAUUCAAACCAACAGCAUCUAACUUGCUUCUAGUUGCAUUAGCUCAAACCACAGCAUAUUGACAUGUCAUGAUCAUGCAUCAUAUUGUGUAUUGCAUUGAUUGUGUUUGCUUCUGUGAUGCCAGUAUUUGUCCCCUCUCGACAGACGUGAUACCGACGAUGAGAUCGAUGACACCGAUGAAGAGCUAUACUAUCUUCAGAAGUGCCAGGCAAGCAAAACUCCCUUGUUCAUUCCGAUACAAUCCUACUCUCUCGCUCCUGCUCUCUUUUACUGCAUUAGGAAAACAACGAUUCAUCUGUUACUUGCUCUCUUUUGUUGCGGUAGCUGAACCCCUUUAUCCUCUGCAUGACCUGUCAUUGCCACAAUAAAUAGAUGAAACCCACUAGCAUGAGUAGGAGUUGUUUGAGCCCUGAUGUGCCUACUUAUUCAUGUUUGUUUCUCAUGCCUGCUACUGCUUAGAGUUGAGUCAGGUCUGAUUCAUCGGGGAUGAAUCAGAGUUGUGUGAACAUGUCCUACUGUGUGUGAGCUAAGUGUGUGAACACGAUUUGGUAAAGGUAGCGGUGAGAGGUAGGAGUACAUGGUGGGUUGUCUCAUUGAAGUCGUCCUCAGGAACUGAGUUCUGUGUUUGUGUUCCAUGAACAGUUACUACCACACAUUGGGUUCCGGUAACUCGGCCCCUCUCGGCUUAUUAAUCAACUUGAUCUCUGUCCAGGAGUUGCAACUAGUUUCUGGUGUUUGUAGGUAGUGUUAUUAGUCUACCAAGUGGCACCCGGUAUAGGUGGGCUUGGGACAAACUAGGCACAGUGGCACGGUGUACCAAGUGGCACCCGGAUGGUGGGCUUGGGAACCCUGCUCACAUCAUUUGGGGCCGUGAGCGACACCCCGGCCGGAUCUCCUUGCAGAUGGAACCCGAAUAGGCGAUAAACCUGGACGAGAGACUUGUGUGGUUAGUCAGGUCGUGGCCGACACCCUCGCUGGGCUUCCGCUUGAAGGUUGCCGAGUACAUGUCGUGUAAAAGGCGGUAAGUGGUGAGAGCUUGUGUGAAGAAGUACAGCCCUGCAGGGUUAAUAUGAUCUAUUCGAAUAGCCGUGUCCGCGGUAAAGGACUUCUGGGUUGCCUGUACAGUUAAUAGACAAGUGAAAGUGGAUAGUCUAAAAUACGCAAGAUAAGCGUGAGUGCUAUGGAUGGCGUUCUCGUAGGGAGACGGGAGUGGAUCCAUAGUGGUGUAUUGAUAUGGUGAAUAUGUGGACUCGUGUGUGCCACCUCAAAAGAGAUACUUGCAGUCGUAGUUCAGGAUAGCCACCGAGUCAAAGUUGGCUUGCUGCAGUUAAACCCCACCCCCCUUUGUUGAUAAUGAUGCAUAUGUAGUUAGUUCUUAUGUAAGUCUUGCUGGGUACAUUUGUACUCACGUUGCUUAAUUUAUGUUUUUGUAGAGAGACUUCAGUCUCAUUAGUAGUUCCGCGUGGACUUCAACGUUUAGCUUGUUACCUCAGCUACGAUCUUGUGCCCUCGGCAGGAUCGGGUAGAUAGUCAGGCUUCUCAACCUUUUUUUCAUUUCUGGAUGUCUAUACUCAGACAUGUUAAGCUUCCGCAUGUGCUUUGACUUCUAUGCUCUGAACGUUGGGUCAUGAGGCUCAUGUUUGUAUUAUCUCGCUCCUUGGAGCCUAUUGAAUAAUACUUUGAGUCGUAAAGUUAUGUUGUGAUGCCAUGUUGUAUUUCCACAUAUUGUGUGUAUGUUAUUGAAAUGGUUGGUAUGUGUGGGAUCUGACUAUCUAGUUGUUUAUCCUUGGUAGCCUCUCUUAUCGGGAAAUGUCUCCUAGUGCUUCCACUGAGCCCUGGUAGCUUGCUACUGCUCCGGAAAACUUAGGCUGGCCGGCAUGUGUCCUUCUUCGUUCCUGUGUCUGUCCCUUCGGGGAAAUGUCAUGCGGUGUCUAUCGGAGUCCUGCUAGCCCAGUUGCUACAGCCCGGAUUCACUCGCUGAUGACCGACACGUUCGUUGUUGGGUCAUGUAUGCCUGUCCCUGUAAGUUAGUGCCACUUCGGGUUCACGACUAGCCAUGUCAGCCCAGGUUCUUGGUCAUAUGGAUGCUAGCGGCACUAUCAUAUACGUGAGCCAAAAGGUGCAAACGGUCCCGGGCCAGUUAAGGUGGCACCCGUGGGAAUACCGUGCGUGAGGCCGCAAAGUGAUAUGAUGUGUUACAUGCUAGAUCGGUGUGACUUAGGAUCGGGGUCCUGACAAUCCUACCAUUUUUUGUGCAUGAUGCAUCUCCUCGGUUGUUCAGAUACAGGAGAUCAUUGAGUUCACUUACUGGAGAUCAUUCAGUUCAAUUUGUGUACAUGCUCGCACGCCGCAUCAGCCACCAGGCAUGCACCAGCACACACGCCAUAGCACACAUGCAAGUUCUAGUAGGCAGCAUGGACUAUUUUGUUGUAUCCAUUGAACUGAAUGGAGCUCCUUCGACCUGUAAGAUGAACGGAAAAAAGCAAAUGGAAUUUGUCAAGGUCGAAAUUACCAUAAUCAUGUAAAACGGGUAAAAAUAACGUCAAGUUCAUGCACAGUAACAUUAGAAGUAGACAAA